AUGCGAUAACUAAUGUGAAUUGCAGAAUUCCGUGAAUCAUCGAGUCUUUGAACGCAUAUUGCACCCUCUGGUAUUCCGGGGGGUAUAUCUGUCCGAGCGUCAUUACAACCUUAAAGCCCGGCUUUUUAUUGGAUUCUAGUUCCGCUCCGCGGGACGGGUCCGAAAUAGAUUAAUGACGUCGCGAUUACCACGGAAUCGAGCGAAUGGAAUCAUUAACGCUCUGUGUGAAGUGGCCGACGGUCUUCUGAAGCGGUUAGUUCUAAUCGUCUUUUUAACGGUUGACCUCGGAUCAGAUAAGGAUACCCGCUGAACUUAA
rnacentral:misc_RNA from 1 species